rnacentral:rRNA from 1 species
GUCUACCGCCAUGGCACCCUGUGGAAUGUGCCUGAUCCCGUCUGAUCUCGGAAGCUAAGCAGGGUGGGGCCUGGUUAGUACUUGGAUGGGAGACCACCUAGGAAGACCAGGUGCUGUAGGUG